AUAUGUGUUUUGCUUGGAGCGUCUUGUAUCGUAUGAGUCUUUAUUUUUGUUGUGUCAUCCUUGCUGCACACCUUUUCAGAGAGACAUGCACUCAUCGUGAUUUUUCUAGAAUGCUCAUCAUGCUUCACUUAUAUCUUUUGAGCUAGAGAAUUUUCCUCUAUGUGCUUCACUUAGAUCUUUUAGAGCACGGCGGUGCGUGACUUGGUAGUUGGCUUGUGCUAUGAAAGUAGUCCCAAAGGUGAUAGAUACCCGAAGAGGAUAGAAAAACCUGCAUCUUCAUGUGUAUUGAAUAGAAAGAGAAGUUUUGAUUCAUCUCAAUUAGUUUUGAGACGUGGAUUUGGUAAUAUUAAGAGCUAUGUUAGUAGGGUGUUGUGAAUCUAGAAAUACUUGUGUUGAAGUUAGUGAUUCCCGUAGCAUGCACGUAUGGUGAACCACUAUGUUAGGAAGUCGGAGCAUAAUUGAUCUGUUGAUUGUCAUCCUUUGUGUUACGGUCGGGAUCGCGCGAUGGUUAACACCUACCAACCCUUCCCCUAGGAGUAUGCGUUUAGCACUUUGUUUGGAUUACUAACAAAACUUUCGCAACAAGUAUGUGAGUUCUUCAUGACUAAUGUGAGUCUAUGCUAUAGAUGCACUUUCGCCUUCCACCAUUGUUAUCCUCUCUAGUGCCGCGCAAUUUUCGUCGGUGCACAAACCCACCAUAUGCCUUCCUAAAAACAGCCACCAUACCUACCUACUAUGGCAUUUUCAUAGCCAUUCCGAGAUAUAUUGCCAUGCAACUCCCACCGUUCCGUCUCAUGACUUGUGCCGUCACUCUCAUAUUGCCAUUUCAUGAUCGUAAGAUAGCUAGCGAGAUAUUUCAACGUCAUACGCCAAGCUAGAUCGUUGCACAUCUCGGUACACUGCCGGAGGCAUUUCCUAUAUAUAGAGUCAUCAUCGUUCUGAGCUUUGACCUGUGAGUAAAUAAAAGUGUGAUGAUCAUCAUUAUUAGAGCAUUGUCCCAUGUGAGGAAAUAAAAAAACAAAAAGAGGCCAAAGAGCCCAAAUAAAAAAAGAGAAAACAAAAAAGAGAAAAAAGAGGCCCAAGAGCCCAAAUAAAAAAAGAGAAAAAGAGAGAAGGGACAAUGCUACUAUCUUUUUCCACACUUGUGCUUCAUAAUAGCACCAUGUUCUUCAUGAUUUUGAGCCUCUCCUUUUGUCACCACCAUAUGCUAGUGGGAAUAUUUAUUAUAUAAGUUGGCUUGUAUAUUCCAAUGAUGGGCUUCCUCAAAAUUUCCCUAGGUCUUCGUGAGCAAGCAAGUUGGAUGCACACCCACUAGUUCUCCUUUUGAGCUUUCACAUACUUAUAGCUCUAGUGCAUCUUUUGUAUGGCAAUCCCUACUCAUUCACAUUGAUAUCUAUUAAUGGGCAUCUCCAUAGCCCUUUGAUACGCCGAGUCAAUGUGACCAUCUCCUCCCUUUUUGUCUCACAACCACCACCACACUCUAUUCCACCUAUAGUGUUAUAUCCAUGGCUCACGCUCAUGUAUUGUGUGAUAGUUAUAAAAAGUUUGAGGAAGUAAGAGUGCGAAAACAAUUACUUGGCCAAUACCGGGGUUGUGCAUGAUUUAAAUUAGUUGUGUGAGGAUGAUGGAGCAUAGCCAGACUAUAUGAUUUUGUAGGGAUAACCUCCUUUGGCCUUGUUAUUUCGAAAGUUCAUGAUUACCUUGCUAGUUUGCUUGAAGUAUUAUUGUUUUCAUGUCAAUAGCAAACUAUUGUUUUGAAUCUUACGGAUCUAAAUAUUCAUGUCACACGAAAGAAGUUACAAAGGACAACUAUGCUAGGUAGCAUUCCACGUCAAAAAUUCAGUCUUUAUCACUUCCCUACUCGAGGACGAGCAGGAGUUAAGCUUGGGGAUGCUUGAUACGUCUCCAACGUAUCUAUAAUUUUUGAUGGUUUCAUGCUAUUAUCUUGUCAAACUUUGGAUGUUUUGUAUUCCUUUUAUAUCUUUUUGGGGCUAACUUAUUAACUCAGUGCCAAGUGCCAGUUCCUGUUUUUUCCGUGUCUUUUCAGAGGAGGAUUUUAAACGGAGUACAAACGGAACGAAACUUCCAAAAAGAUUUUUUCUGAAAUAGAACACGAUCGGGGGACUUGAGAACCAAGGCAGGGGGCCACCAGGGACCCCACAAGCCCCCUAGCCGCGGCCAAGGGGGCCCGCGCCUCCAAGGCUUGUGGGAUCUCUGGGUCACCUCUGCCCUAGGUCUUUCGCCUAUAUAUUCCCAAAAAUUCCAGAAAAAUCAGGAGAUCAUCGAAAGUACUUUUCCGCCGCCGCAAGCUUCUGUCUCCGCAAGAUCCCAUCUGGGGCACGUUCUGGUGCCUUGCCGGAGAGGGGGAUUCUGAUAUGGAGGGCUUCUUCAUCAACACCAUGACCUAUCCGAUGUUGCGUGAAUAGUUCACCAUAGCCUACGGGUCCAUAACUAGUAGCUAGAUGGCUUCUUCUCUCUCUUGGAUCUUCAAUACAAAGUUCUCCAUGAUCUUCAUGGAGAUCUAUCCGAUGUAAUCUUCUUUCGCGGUGUGUUUGUCUAGAUCCGCUGAAUUUUGUAUUUAUGAUCUGAUUAUCUAUGAAUCUUAUUUGAGUUUCUUCUGAUAUCUUAUAUGCAUUCUUUCAUAUCCUUGUAAUUCUCUUCGAGUUGUGGGUUUUGUUUGGCUAGCUUGAUCUAUGAUUCUUGCAAUGGGAUAAGUGCUUGGUUUUGGGUUCAUACUGUGCGGUGACCUCACCAACUGACAGAAGGGGUACCGAGGCACGCAUCAUGUUGUUGCCAUCAAGGGUAAAAAGAUGGGGUUUUCAUCAUUGGUUUGAGUUUAUCCUUCUACAUCAUGUCAUCUUGCUUAAGGCGUUACUCUGUUCGUCAUGAACUCAAUACACUAGAUGCAUGCUGGAUAGCGGUCGAUGUGUGUAGUAAUAGUAGUAGAUGCAGAAAGUAUCGGUCUACUUGUCUCCGACGUGAUGCCUAUAUGUAUGAUCAUUGCCUUAGAUAUCAUCAUGACUUUGCGCGGUUCUAUCAAUUGCUCGACAGUAAUUUUAUCACCCACCGUAAUAUUUUCUAUUUUGAGAGAAGCCUCUAGUGAACACUAUGGCCCCCGGGUCUACUUCACACCAUAUUUUCAGCCUUACUCUUUUACUUCGUUGCACUUUCCGCCUUCAGAUCUCACUUUGCAAUCAAUUUUGAAGGGAUUGACAACCUCUUUAUAGCGUUGGGUGCAUGCUCGUUUGUGUUUGCGCAGGUACUCUGGACUUGACGAGAUUCUCCUACUGGAUUGAUACCUUGGUUCUCAAACUGAGGGAAAUACUUGCUGCUCCUAUGCUGCAUCACCCUUUCCUCUUCAAGGGAAAAACCAACGCAAGCAAGUCUCCGUCAAUGUGUCAAUUUGUGGCGCUGUUGUUUGAGAAGUAGCAUUAGCCUCCGGGCCCGCCGUAAGGGAGGCGUGUUUGGUCAGAGCCGUUUGCUGUGAUACCGGCGUCCAGGUUAGGUCCGAUCUAGGGGACGACUCUUUGAAAGAGAGGGAUACGAGGACAUAGUCGGACGUGAUACCCGAAGUUAAAGCUUCGGGGUUUCUGAUCUCAUCGACCGAGCCCGGUAUUCCUGUGAGGACCAGAUUGGUAUGCGAAAGGGUUGGGGGUUCGAUACUCCCUGACCUCGCUUGCUGGUCGGGGGCCAAACUUCCGAUCUGGCCAGGAUGGCCGAUUGGGUCUGCGCGAAGCGUAAUGCUACCAAACGAGAGAACCUAUCCGGAGACAAAGACGUCACCAUUACUGAUUCUGUCUCUAACCAUUAGGUGAGCCAUCGAACCUUUCGGCGUUCCUGAAGUGUAAAUCUCAAUGAAAGCACCAAUGUCAGUGUCUAAACCGCCACAUAUCGGGUAGGGUGUCCCGUACUGUGGACCUUCGAUCGAUGGGUUGCAGGAAGACGGGGGAGACAGUAGUUUACCCUGGUUCGGGACUUCCUAUGGAGGUAAUAACCUACGUCCUGCUUGAUUAUAUUGAUGAAGAUGAUUAUAUAGUGGAUCUACCUCGAUAUCGUAUAUGCUAAACCUUAGAUGAUUCAGCCACCUCUAUACGGAUAAGAGUCCCUGAUUUAUAUAAACACCAAGGUCCCUAGGGUUUACAAGUUACCAAGUAUAAUCGGGGAUAGAUGAGCCGACAUAUUCUUCCUAAGCUUGAAGUACACGCCAAUCUUCGGGAUAUUCUAUCCAGAGUAGAGGUCGUCAUGACAGCCGGUCUUCUUCAGCACGGCCCAAUGGGCAAACCCAGUAUUGACUAACCGGCCGCCCGAGGACCCGAGAAUCCUGGACUCCCUCACAAGGGCAAUUUAAAAAGGAAAAUGAAGCCUCGGAGGGAGAACAAAAGCGCACCAUGAUUAAAACACUUCAGCCAUGAAGUACUUAAAACAAAAUCUCCCUACAAUUGUUUUUAUACCCCCACGGGGCCAAUUGGUUCGCUGUGCAACAUGAUAGAAGAAAAAGCGAUAAUAGCUUAGGAGGAGGAGGCGGUGUCGUUCUCAUCAUUGUCGCUCAUGAGGCCCCCUCCAGGGCUUCCUCCCUCCUCGAAGGGCUCGACAUGCAUGAACUACUUGAUCAGAGAGUCCACGUGCUCGCAUUCUUCAUCCUUGAGAAGGCCGUGGGGCUCUACAGGCACCAGCUCUACCACGAGGGAAAAGUCAAAGGUAGGGUCGUGGCGGCAAAGGUUAGAGAAGUCGUGUGUCGCCACAUAGUCCAGGAGGUCUCGGGAACCGCCAUCGAUGGCCUCGUCCACCUUGGAGACACCCGACACCAGCACCUCCACAUCUUUCAUGAAGAAGUCGAGGUAGCCACCAUUGGAGUGCGCGAGGGGCAGUGUCGGGAUGUCCUCAAUGAAACGGUCAAGUGCGCCACUAGCGCGCAUGACGAGCACCAAGAAGAACUUCGUAGGCCAUGCCUGCAUCACUCGCACAUGCGCCUCGUUGUCUCGGGCCCUCCGCAUGGCUUCAGUGACCUCACCAACCUGCGCCUAGAGCAGCACGAGCUCUGCCUCCACAUCCCAUUUGCCCUCAAGGCUGGUCUGGAGGUCUACCUCACCAUCCUAGACCUAGGCCUUGAGCUCAUGAGCCUCCUCCUAGAGCUCAUCGCGCUUGAGCUCGAAGCUGGUCUCCUCCAGCACCACCCUACCGUGGUACUCCUCUCAAGCAGCCUCCCGCUCCCUAGUGACCCUCGCGUCAGCCUCAACAUUGGUCAUGGUGCGCGCGGCCUCAAGGUCAGCUCCGUCGCAGAGAACCCGUCCUUCCAUGGUAAAGAGACACCCGCUCUCUGCCUCUUGGUCGAAGGCGGUCUGGGCGGCCUCCCGCUCCAGAAGGACUAUGUUGGCCUCUCAGCCAAUGAGGUCCUCUUCCUUUGGGGCCAGCUCUCCCUCGCACAUGAUGCACUACUGCUCGCACACGGUGGCCGCAUCCUCGCGGACUUGGAGCUCCCGCACGCAGAGGGCGACCAGCUCCUCUGCCCGGUAGGAUCGUGAUUCGGCCUCCCAGCGCUGGGUGCUCUCCGCUCGGAGGUUGGCCUCGAGCGCAUCAAGUGUGUCAUGCAUGCUUGGGGGAGCUCCGCAGGCGGCUGAGCCUCCCGCGGGGUCUUCUCCCUCCACAUGCCCCUUGUUGGUGGUCGGGGUAGCGCUGUGAGCCGCGAGCUGGGGGCUCACCGCCGCCCUCUGGUCGUCGCCUUUAGCACCAGUCUCCUCCAGGGUCGGGCGGUCAUGCGGCAUGAGUGCCUCCCCAGAAAGUCGCACCGGCGAGGGCGCCACGGAAAUGGAGGCCCUUUGACUCUUGCGUGCGGGCCCCUUGAAGGGCCAGCUAUUCAAUCCAUCAUACUCAUCAACGGCGAGCAAAAAUGGGUAAGAAAAUUGGCGAACUUACUCAUCGAUGGUCGCCUAGUGCCUCUGCGUUGGCAAGGACCGUAGGCGCUGGCUGCCGCCACUUCCAGGGGAGGACGACAACACCGUAGGAUCCUCCUGUGCCUCGACGAUGGUGGCGCUCCUCUUUGGCACCAUGGCAUUGGAAACCGCG
rnacentral:lncRNA from 1 species